rnacentral:lncRNA from 1 species
UGAGUAUAUAGUACCCUCUGUAAAGACCACAAUAAUUUGUUUUCUAAGCAGUGCUUUCUGUGAGUAUUCCUGCAGCAGCUGACAUGGAAGAAAAGAGAGGAUUUAUUGUUCUUCUAACAAUAUAUUUUUGCUUGUUAGGUGAAGUUAGUAUUUUGAUAUCGCUACUUCUUCUCACCUUUUCACAGAGAAAUGCCCACUACAGUCCUAUUACACUUUGACAAGGAGUUUGUGAAAAAAAUUGGCUUGUUGCAAUACAGAGAACCAUGCAACGAUCUCCCAGAAAUCACAGAGACAUUUAUGACCAAAGGCAGCAGAUCCAACAUGCUUGAAGCUCAGAUGCCUGCUGACAGCAUGACUGAUUCAAGGUUGCAUGUAAAGAGCAGCAGCUGGGUGGAAGAUGAGAGCUGCUACUGGAGCAAUGCCAUUGCUACAGUGUGAGAAAGUAGGCUUCUGACUCUGGCUGCACCAAGUGGGUCCCACUGGCAGAGGAAACUUAGCAAGCUGUCUGAGUUAUCGCAUUGUGCAUCUGUUCUUUAUGAAGAUACUCAGAUCAUUGGUUGGUCUGACAGAGCUGUGAGAUUCAAGUUAAAUUUACACCCCAUGACAGUACUGCAUAUGCUGAAAUAAUAGGAGUUAUUCUCCUAUUAUGAGAUUAUUAUGAGAUUUAAAUUUAUGCAUUAUUAGAAUUUGCUUUUCAGAAAAUGUUGUUGCUUUAAUGGUCUCACUGAGUAGUUUUCAUUUACUUUUCUAGUCUUAAGCAUAAUUAUACAGCAUAAACAAUGAGAGUAGCAGUGAUAAUGAAAGCUUUGCAGUACUUACUGUCCAAAAUUUUUUACAUUUUGAGAAGGAACUGCUUUUAAUGAAUUUUUAGUGUUUUUUUUUUUGUGUGUGUGUUCUUUUUUAAUGUUCAUGCUGCAUUUUCAACUUAGUAUGUUUAUUUUCUGAGUCAAUAAUUCACUUUUGCACUUCUUGUGAGGUCGUGUACUAAGUAAACCUGUUUGCAUUAAAGAUGGUGACAUUUUAACAAAAAUUGGCUCUGAGAUUUGUU